rnacentral:snRNA from 1 species
UACAACUCAUAGUUUACU